UUGGUGCUCUGGUGUUCGCCACUAGAUAUAUCCCACUACGUAGACAUGAAGCUCGUUCUUGCACAAGAUGAAGAAAUUCUUCCCCCUUUGCGAUUGGUCCGGUUAUUCUUCGAGGUUGGCGCUGUGCUGGUGCGAGGACAGGAUUGUCGUGUGAUUCGUUCAUACCGUCUGGGCGCUAUGUGUGAUUAUUUACGACCUUCAGAAAGCGGUUGGAGAAGGACAUGAGCUGUUUUCUUUCGAACAUCUAGCCGUAGAUGCGGGCGGAUGGGAUCUCUCCAGGUGAUAAUUUCGUGCAGACUUACACGGUCGAUCUAUUUCCCGGGAAGAACAAUUGCCCCCCUGCAGCUCUAUCCUGGCGUGAAUCAUCUCUUCGCUAGACGAAUCCACUCGACAAAAUUGACGGACAUCCGACAGCCAUUGUUUGUCCACACACCCGCAAACGCAAACUUCCGGCAUCCAUUAGUUUGCUGCCCGGCAGGUCCUCCUCACAGCUUGCAAUGCAACACCAAAUCGACAUCUCUGCUCUGUCUCUCCCGGGAUGGCCGGUUUCUUCCGCCUGUUCGACUCGAGGCCCCAGUGUGUUCGUUUGUGGGCCGUUUCCCAAAUAUUUCACUUCUGUGCUACAGGAGUGGACUCGUCCUCUGGCCGUAAUGUUCGCCAGGAGAACCUCCAAACAACACGCUACUCUGCGGACGACCGGUCGCUUGCUGAGAAGAGACUAGUUCCCUCCAGUGUUACGUAAUGUAUGACACUAGUAGUGCAAUCUGUUCGGUCAACUGAAGCCAUAAAAAUGCUGUAGAAAGCACCAAACAAGGACAGCAGAGGUAGCUCAGACUAAUUGAAAUAGCGUUCUAGCCGUGGAAGACAGACUGUCAUAAUAAAAUCAUAAAUCUG